rnacentral:rRNA from 1 species
CAGUAGCCGCGGUAAUACGAAGGGUGCAAGCGUUAAUCGGAAUUACUGGGCGUAAAGCGUGCGUAGGCGGUGAGUUAAGUCUGCUGUGAAAUCCCCGGGCUCAACCUGGGAAUGGCAGUGGAUACUGGCUCGCUAGAGUGUGUCAGAGGAUGGUGGAAUUCCCGGUGUAGCGGUGAAAUGCGUAGAGAUCGGGAGGAACAUCAGUGGCGAAGGCGGCCAUCUGGGACAACACUGACGCUGAGGCACGAAAGCGUGAGGAGCAAACAGGAUUAGAUACCCCCGUAGUCCCUGUCUCUUAUAC